CUCUAUGGGGCAGCCCAACCCCCGCCAUGGGGCAGCUGAACCUGCGCUAUGGGGCAGCCCAAGGUGCGCUAUGGGGCAGCCGAACCCACGCUAUGGGGCAAGCCAACCCCCACUAUGGGGCAGCCCAAGGUGUGCUAUGGGGCAGCCCAAGCCCUGCUAUGAGGCAACCCUAUCCCCGCUAUGAGGCGGCCCAACCCCCGCCAUGGGGCGGCCCAACCCGCGCUAUGGGGCAGCCUGAGGCGCGCUAUGGGGCGGCCCCCGCACCUCGGCGAUGAUGCGCUCGAGCUCGCGGUUCUCCUUCUCGAGGAGGCGCGACUUCUCCUCCUCGUUGUUGUUGGUGGAGGAGCCGGUUUUCAUGGUGUCCUGCUGCUCCGACUGCCACUCGCCACGCGUGAUCAGGCGCCGCAUCUUGGGGGGGGGGGGGGGGGGCAGCGUCAGCGCCGCGACAACAACCGGAGCACGGAUACAACCGGAGCACGGCUACACCUGGAGGAGGGCUAGACCCGGAGCAGGGUUAUACGCGGAGCACGGCUACACCUGGAGCAAGGCUACACCCGGAGCAAGGCUACACCUGGAGCAAGGCUACACCUGGAGUGGGGCUACACCUGGAGCAAGGCUACACCUGGAGCAGGGCUACACCCGGAGAAGAAAGGAUACACCCGGAGGAGGGCUAUGCCCGGAGCAAGGCUACACCUGGAGCGUGGCUACACCCAGAGCAGGGCUACACCCGGAGCGGGGCUACACCUGGAGGAGGGCUACACUUGGAGGAGGGCUACACCCGGAGCAUGGCUACACCCGGAGCAGGGCUACACCCAGAAAAAGCCUGCACCCGGAGCAGGGUUAUACCCAGAGCAUGGCUACACCCAGAGCACGGCUACACCUGGAGGAGGGCUACACCCAGAGUGGGGCUACACCCGGAGCAGGACUACACCUGGAAAAAGCCUGCACCUGGAGCAAGGCUACACCUGGAGCAGGGCUACACCUGGAGUGAGGCUACACCCGGAGCAAGGCUACACCCAGAGCAGGGUUAUACCCCGAGCAGGGUUAUACCCAGAGUGUGGCUACACCCGGAGCAAGGCUACACCUGGAGGAGAGUUACACCCGGAGUACGGCUACACAAGGAGCAUGGCUACACCUGGAGCAAGGCUACACCUGGAGGAGGGCUACACCUGGAGCAAGGUUAUACCCAGAGCAUGGCUACACCUGGAGCAAGGCUACACCUGGAGGAGGGCUACACCUGGAGCAGGGUUAUACCCGGAGCAAGGCUACACCCGGAGCAAGGCUACACCCAGGGCAAGGCUACACCCAGAGCAAGGCUACACCCAGGGCAAGGCUAGACCCGAAGGAGAGUUACACCCGGAGCAAGGCUACACCUGGAGGAGGGCUACACCCAGAGUGGGGCUACACCCAGAGCAGGGCUAUACCUGGAGCACGGCUACACCCGGAGCAAAGGCUACACCCGGAGCAUGGCUAUACCUGGAGCAAGGCUACACCUGGAGUGGGGCUACACUUGGAGCAAGGCUACACCUGGAGCACGGUUACACCCGGAGCAUGGAUACACCCAGAGGAGAGUUACACCCGGAGCAAGGCUACAGCAGGAGCACGGCUACACCCAGAGAAAGGCUACACCUGGAGAAGGGCUACACCUGGAGCACGGCUACACCUGGAGUGAGGCUACACCGGGAGCAGGGCUACACCCAGAGGAGGGCUACAGCUGGAGCAGGGCUAGACCCGGAGCACGGCUACACCUGGAGAAGGGCUACACCUGGAGUGGGGCUACACCCGGAGCAGGGUUUAUACCCAGAGCAUGGCUACACCCAGAGCAAGGCUACACCUGGAGGAGAGUUACACCCGGAGUACGGCUACACAAGGAGCAUGGCUACACCAGGAGCAAGGCUACACCCAGAGCAAGGCUACACCUGGAGGAGGGCUACACCCGGAGCACCACUACACCCGGAGUGGGGCUACACCUGGAGCAAGGCUACACCCGGAGCAGGGUUAUACCCGGAGCACGGCUACACCUGGAGCAAGGCUACACCCGGAGAAGAGAGGAUACACCUGGAGAAGGGCUAUGCCCAGAGCAAGGCUACACCCGGAGCGAGGCUACACCUGGAAAAAGCCUGCACCCAGAGCAGGACUACACCUGGAGGAGAGUUACACCCAGAGUACGGCUACACCCGGAGCAGGGCUACACCUGGAGCACGGCUACACCUGGAGCGUGGCUACACCUGGAGGAGGGCUACACCCGGAGCAAGGCUACAUCCGGAGCAAGGCUACAGCCAGAGAAGGGCUACACCCGGAGCAGGGCUACACCUGGAGCAAGGCUACACCUGGAGCAAGGCUACACCUGGAGUGGGGCUACACCCGGAGGAGGGUUAUACCUGGAGCAAGGCUACACCCGGAGCAAGGCUACACCUGGAGCAGGGCUAGACCCGGAGGAGGACUAGACCUGGAGUGAGGCUACACCCGGAGCAGGGUUAUACCCGGAGUGCGGCUACACCUGGAGCAAGGCUACACCUGGAGGAGGGCUACACUUGGAGGAGGGCUACACCCAGAGCAUGGCUACACUGGGAGCAAGGCUACACCCGGAGAAAGGCUACAGCCAGAGGAGGGCUACACCUGGAGCAGGACUACACCUGGAGGAGAGUUACACCCAGAGCAAGGCUACACCUGGAGCAUGACUACAGCCAGAGAAAGGCUACACCUGGAGCGCAGCUACACCUGGAGAAGAGUUACACCCAAAGGAGGACUACACCUGGAGCACGGCUACACCAGGAGCAAGGCUACACCCAGAGCACCACUACACUCAGAGCUCCACUACACCCGGAGCGGGGCUACACCUGGAGCGUGGCUACACCCGGGGCAAGGCUACACCUGCAGGAGAGCUACACCCGGAGCAGGGUUAUACCCGGAGCAGGGCUACACCUGGAGCGGGGCUACACCCGGAGCAAGGCUACAGCCAGAGAAGGGCUACACCCGGAGCAGGGCUACACCUGGAGUGGGGCUACACCCGGAGCACAGCUACACCUGGAGCAGGACUACACCUGGAGCAGGACUACACCUGGAGUGGGGCUACACCCGGAGGAGAGUUACACCCGGAGCAAGGCUACAGCAGGAGCACGGCUACACCUGGAGCGGGGCUACACACGGAGGAGAGCUACACUUGGAGGAGGGCUACAGCCGGAGCAGGGCUACACCCGGAGCAAGGCUACACCUGGAGCAGGGUUAUACCCAGAGCAUGGCUACACCUGGAGGAAGGCUACAGCCGGAGCAGGACUACACCUGGAAAAAGCCUGCACCUGGAGCAAGGCUACACCUGGAGCACGGUUACACCCGGAGCAUGGAUACACCCAGAGGAGAGUUACACCCGGAGCAAGGCUACACCCGGAGCAGGGUUAUACCCGGAGCACGGCUACACCCGGAGCAUGGC
ensembl:lncRNA